GCACCCGUGGCACAAUUGGAUAGCGCGUCGGCCUCCGAAGCCGAAGGUUGUGGGUUCGAACCCCGCCGGGUGUACUA
rnacentral:tRNA from 1 species